rnacentral:ncRNA from 2 species
AGGACAACAGGGGAUGGAGUCCCCCUCUGAACUGCCGAAGAGGCUGAUGACUCCUGCCGCGAC